rnacentral:rRNA from 1 species
CCUACGGGAGGCAGCAGUGGGGAAUAUUGCACAAUGGGGGAAACCCUGAUGCAGCAACGCCGCGUGAAGGAAGACGGUUUUCGGAUUGUAAACUUCUGUUCUAAGUGAAGAAUAAUGACGGUAGCUAAGGAGCAAGCCACGGCAAACAACGUGCCAGCAGCCGAGGUAUAAGUAGGUGGCAAGCGUUUGCCGGAAUUACUGGGUGUAAAGGGAGCGCCGGCGGGGAAGCAAGUCAGCUAGUAAAACCAAGGGCUUAACUUGUAGACUGCAGUUGAAACUGGUUUUCUUGAGUGAAGUAGAGGUUGGCGGAAUUCCGAGUGUAGCGGUGAAAUGCGUAGAUAUUCGGAGGAACACCGGUGGCGAAGGCGGCCAACUGGGCUUUAACUGACGCUGAGGCUCGAAAGUGUGGGGAGCAAACAGGAUUAGAUACCCUUGUAGUC